rnacentral:rRNA from 1 species
ACGGCUACCUUGUUACGACUUCACCCCAGUUAUCGGUCCCACCUUCGACGGCUCCCUCCGAUUGGUUGGGUCACCGGCUUCGGGCGUUACUGACUCCCAUGGUGUGACGGGCGGUGUGUACAAGACCCGGGAACGUAUUCACCGCGACAUUCUGAUUCGCGAUUACUAGCGAUUCCAGCUUCAUGUAGUCGAGUUGCAGACUACAAUCCGAACUGAGACGUUAUUUUUGGGAUUUGCUCACAUUCACAUGCUUGCUUCCCUUUGUUUACGCCAUUGUAGCACGUGUGUAGCCCUGGUCAUAAGGGGCAUGAUGAUUUGACGUCAUCCCCACCUUCCUCCAGGUUGUCCCUGGCAGUCUCUCUAGAGUGCCCACCUCAAAUGCUGGCUACUAAAGAUAAGGGUUGCGCUCGUUGCGGGACUUAACCCAACAUCUCACGACACGAGCUGACGACAACCAUGCACCACCUGUCUCCAGUGCUCCGAAAAGA